GAAGUAAACCGGGCGGCCGCCGUUGCAGGGCUUGCUCUGCGAGGGAGGAAAGUCCGGGCUCCACAGGGCGGGAUACUCCGUAACGCGGAGUGGAGGCGACUCCAAGGAAAGCGCCACAGAAAAGACACAGCCUACCCGUCGGUUUUCCGGCGGCGGCAAUGGUGAAAAGGCGAGGUAAGAGCUCACCAGUACCGUUGGCGACAGCGGUAGCUUGGCAAACCCUAUCCGGAGCAAGGUCAAAUAGGAAAGCGUUUGAGGACGGCCCGUCCGAUGCUUUCGGGUUGACUGCUUGAGCCUGUCGGCAACGGCAGGCCUAGAUUGAUGGUCGCCGCCCCGUUUCGGCGGGGAACAGAACCCGGCUUAUUGGUUUACUUCGACC
rnacentral:RNase_P_RNA from 1 species